UACGUAGGGGGCAAGCGUUGUCCGGAAUCAUUGGGCGUAAAGAGCGCGUAGGCGGCCCAGCAAGUCCGCUCUGAAAGUCAGGGGCUCAACCCCUGAAUGCGGGUGGAUACUACUGGGCUAGAGUCCGGAAGAGGCGAGUGGAAUUCCUGGUGUAGCGGUGAAAUGCGCAGAUAUCAGGAGGAACACCGAUGGCGAAGGCAGCUCGCUGGGACGGUACUGACGCUGAGGCGCGAAAGCGUGGGGAGCGAACAGG
rnacentral:rRNA from 1 species